GGCUCCACCUCUAGGAGCGGAGACUUUUAGUAUGUUUACCUUCUGGUCAUCCUGAACACAUUUCUGAAGAAAUUGCUUAGGUUGCAGCUCACGCACUCUACACCUUCAUUUUGACUAUUCUUUGGGCGGACUAAAAAUAUUACUUCAUAUAUUUU